AACGAACGCUGGCGGCAUGCCUAACACAUGCAAGUCGAACGAGACCUUCGGGUCUAGUGGCGCACGGGUGCGUAACGCGUGGGAACCUGCCCUUAGGUUCGGAAUAACUCCCCGAAAGGGGUGCUAAUACCGGAUAAUGUCUUCGGACCAAAGAUUUAUCGCCUUUGGAUGGGCCCGCGUUGGAUUAGCUAGUUGGUAGGGUAAAAGCCUACCAAGGCGACGAUCCAUAGCUGGUCUGAGAGGAUGAUCAGCCACACUGGGACUGAGACACGGCCCAGACUCCUACGGGAGGCAGCGGGGGGGAAUAUUGGACAAUGGGCGAAAGCCUGAGCCAGCAAGGCCGCGUGAGUGAUGAAGGCCUUGGGGUUGUAAAUCUCUUUUAACCGGGAUGAUAAUGACAGUACCGGGAGAAUAAGCCCCGGCUAACUCCGUG
rnacentral:rRNA from 1 species